GCCUGGAUAGCUCAGCCGGUAGAGCAUCAGAUUUUUAAUCUGAAGCUUCAGGGCUCAAAUCCCUGUUCAGGCA